ensembl:lncRNA
GAUGAGAUGGCUGGAUGGAAUCACUGACUCGAUGGACGUGAGUCUGGGUGAACUCCAGGAGUUGGUGAUGGACAGGGAGGCCUGGGGUGCUGUGAAUCAUGGGGUUGCAAAGAGACGGACACGACUGAGCAACUGAACUGAACUGAUGAUCGGGGUUAAUAUCAUGUGCUCAUGUUCAGUUGCUCAGUUGUGUCCGAUUCUUUGUGACCUCAUAGAGUGUAGCCCUCCAGGCUCCUCUGUCUCUGGGAUUUUCCAGGCAAGAAUAUUAGAAUGGGUUGCCAUUUCUUUUUCAGAGGAUCUUCACGACCAAGCGAUUGAACUUGAGUCUUCUGCACUGGCAGGUGGAUUAUUUACCACUGAGCUACCUGGGAAGCCCCAUGGAUUGAAGGAGAGUCCUGGGCUUAUAAAAUACUCUAUUUCCUCCAUUAAUUGUGCCCGAGUGGAGUUGUAACCAAGUAGCUGAAACAAAUAAAAUGUAGUGAACUGCAGCAAGGGAACUGAGCGCUCAGUUAAAGUUGCAGAUAUUGUCCCUUGGAUCCCUCAUACGAGGGUGAAGAGAACAUAACUACUCAGACCCAAAAAACGCUGAGUGGACUGCACAGAGGGACCCCGCUGACCCUCGGGAGACUAAGACCAUCCUUAAGAAGAAGGAAAAGAAGAUCCUGGACGAGCCCCUUCAGGAUGAAGCCACACAAUCAACUCCUGCUGCUUGGCCUCAUCAACGUGAUUUUGAAUUUGACUUCUGUUUCAACUCAGGACAAUGUUUUCAUCUCAUGGGCACAUUCCUACGCAGACUUCCACAACACUUCCAACUGCUGGAUAUGUAGGGCUAUGCCUCUGUCAGUGAUGGAUGGACUUCCUUGGUGGGUGUCACCACUCUGCCAAGGAGAUUUUAAACCACUCUGCUCUUUUCUGGGAUGACAAAAAGAGACUUUCCUCUCUCUUGUCAAUCAUAACCUCUCCUUGCUCUUUUGGUGUAAGACCUACAGUCAAUAGACUCGGGUCAUGGGGUUACAUUUGAUAUAAAUGCCAGUGUAACAAAAGCCUAACCUACUUGUUGUAAAUCUACCCCAGUAGCCCAGGUAAAUCUACCUUAUUUACAUGCUAGGUGGACAAGAUCCGUGUUUCAAUGAUAUGAGUAUAUUGCUGCCUUAUUCGUACCCUCUAUAGGGACAACAGAUAUUAUGAUUAAAGUAGAGGCCUUGACUAAUUUCACAAAACAGGCCCUCCUAGAUAGAACAAAAGCCAUCCAAGCCUUAAAUGAAGAGCAAAUCCAAAUGAGAAAAGCGAUAAUUCAUGAUAGAAUGGCUUUGGACAUAUUCACAGCUGCUCAAGGAGGGACCUGUGCUAUAAUUAAGUUUGAAUGUUGUGUAUACAUCCCUGACUUAUCUGGCAAUGUAUCAACUGCUUUAGAUGACCAGUCUGGCUUUAGAAAAACCAGGUAAAAGCAAUGUCAAAUGAAAACAUUCCUUUUUGGACUUUGAUCCUAUCUUGGGUGAAGGGCGAUUGGUGGAAAACUAUAUUUACCACUGUUAUAGUUGUCUUGAUAGUUCUGCUUUGUGGACCCUGAAUUUUACAAUGUAUUAUGACCUCUGUAACCGGAAGGUUGAUGUCAUUCUCCCAAAUUGGUGGUCAGAGAGCCAGGGUGCAAUAUAUCCCUAUGAAUGAUGCUCAUAAUAUGAGUUAAGAGCAUCAAGAGCGGGGUGGGGGGGAUGAAGAAGGAAUUCAUAGGGCUUGGACUCCAUCUUAGGCCUGUUCAUGCUGAUCAUGCUCGGCCACCUUUCCAAUGGACUCUGAACUCUGUGUUUGGUGCCUAUGAAAACAACAACAGAAGGAAGGAUAAGACCCCUCCAGACAGGGGAACCUUGAAGAUUGUAUGUAGGUUACUCAUCGCCUAAGAGAAAACAUACACUUAUCACCCCUUCCUCCAGACAGGCCAUAAAUUUUUCUGUAUGUAUCAGAGUGUAACCUCGGGUUUAUUGAUUAUUGGCUAAUUGUUUGACUGUUUGAGCACAUGAGCACAUAGCACAUGAAUGAUGGGGUUAUUGGGAUUGUAUUUUCCUUGGUUUAUGUAAGUCUCAAGGAAUUUGGAGUGGUGGGUUCAGACACGUACACAUGGG